AUUUAAGUAGUUUAUAUUAAAAUAUUGAUUUGUGGAGUCAAGGAUGUAGGGAUACCUUAAAUA
rnacentral:tRNA from 1 species